rnacentral:rRNA from 1 species
AUUGAACGCUGGCGGAAUGCCUAACACAUGCAAGUCGAGCGGGGUGUAGCAAUACACCUAGCGGCGGACGGGUGAGGAAUACAUAGGAAUCUACCUUUAAGUGGGGGAUAGCCCGGGAAACCCGGAGUUAAUACCGCAUGAUCUCGCAAGAGCAAAGCGGGGGACCGUAAGGCCUCGCGCUGAAAGAUGAGCCUAUGUCGGAUUAGCUAGUUGGCGGGGUAAAGGCCCACCAAGGCGACGAUCCGUAGCUGGUCUGAGAGGACGAUCAGCCACACCGGAACUGAGACACGGUCCGGACUCCUACGGGAGGCAGCAGUGGGGAAUAUUGGACAAUGGCGCAAGCCUGAUCCAGCAAUUCCGCGUGUAUGAAGAAGGCC